ACCUUUAUUUGUCGUCUUUCAACUGGCAAGAGUCAUUUUGACCAGCAGAUUAAUCAACUGUAAGACGGAUCCUCACACAAAGAGGCAACCGAAAGGAUGAAAUCACUGACUUGGAUAUUGAGCCUUUGGGCUUUUGCAGCAUGUUUCACAGUAAGUAUCAUUAAUCACAAUCACACAUCUGUAUACUUUCUCAUUAACCAUUACUUCAGAUUUCUUUUUACAUUAAUGAUGUUACCUUUUCUUAUAUAUUAGUAACUAUUAACCAUCGAUGAAACACUGUUUAGGGCUUAAAUUUAAAUUUAAAAUCUAAUUUAAAUAACCACACAUGUCUGAUGGCUGCCAUACUGGACAGCUCAAGUCUGUGAUAUCAGACUGCAUUAAACAGAUAUGGAUAAAUGUUAAGUUCCCAUACUCUAGUCAGUUACACAGUAGGUAAAACUCUAUAAAAACAGAUAAUCAAAAUAAAACCGUUUUCCCAGCAUGUAGUUUAUGGAUCAUUUACACCAGAGUCACCUAACUCACUUAUUAAAAAUAUAGUAAAGACCUCAUCCAAGCCUCAAUAAGAGUAUCAGAUAAUGGGACCUGGAAAUAUGCGUUCUACCAAGGAUCUACAAGUAUCUUUGCAUGGUAAAUUUUGACAGAAUGCUAAGCAUUUAUAUAUAAACAACUACUUUGU
rnacentral:sRNA from 1 species